rnacentral:rRNA from 1 species
UGGGUAACCUGCCUCAAAGAGGGGAAUAGCCUCCCGAAAGGGAGAUUAAUACCGCAUAAUAUGUUUAAGUCGCAUGAUUUUAACAUCAAAGGAUUUUCUUAGGAAAUUCCACUUUGAGAUGGACCCGCGGCGCAUUAGCUAGUUGGUGAGGUAACGGCUCACCAAGGCAACGAUGCGUAGCCGACCUGAGAGGGUGAUCGGCCACAUUGGAACUGAGACACGGUCCAGACUCCGUAGG